GUGAAUCAUCGAAUCUUUGAACGCAAAUUGCACUUUCUGGUAUUCCGGGAAGUAUGCCUGUUUGAGGAUCAGUUAAAUAAAAAUCGGUGUUGUUGCUGCUUUUCGUUGUGACGCGACGGAAUUGAGUUUUCUUACCUUCGGUUAAGUGACAUAAAAUUUUGCAUGAGUUUCGAACGUAUUUAAAUUUCUUACGUACGUUUGAGAUAUCGAAUGCUUUAUUAUGUUCGGUCAUGCCCAUGC
rnacentral:misc_RNA from 1 species